ACCCGCUGAACUUAAGCAUAUCAAUAAGCGGAGGAAAAGAAACCAACAGGGAUUGCCCUAGUAACGGCGAGUGAAGCGGCAACAGCUCAAAUUUGAAAUCUGGCUUCGGCCCGAGUUGUAAUUUGCAGAGGAUGUUUAUGGUGCGGUACUUUCCGAGUUCCCUGGAACGGGACGCCACAGAGGGUGAGAGCCCCGUCUGGAUGGAUACCAAACCUGUGUUAAACUCCUUCAACGAGUCGAGUAGUUUGGGAAUGCUGCUCUAAAUGGGAGGUAAAUCUCUUCUAAAGCUAAAUAUAGGCCAGAGACCGAUAGCGCACAAGUAGAGUGAUCGAAAGAUGAAAAGCACCUUGAAAAGGGGGUUAAACAGUACGUGAAAUUGUUGAAAGGGAAGCGUUUAUGACCAGACUUGUGUCGUGUGGCUCAUCCGAGGUUCUCCCCGGUGCACUCCACGCGGCUCAGGCCAACAUCGGUUUUUGUCGGAGGAUAAGAAUAGUAGGAACGUAGCUCUUCCUCGGAAGAGUGUUAUAGCCUAUUAUACGAUACUUUGAUAGAGACCGAGGACCGCGCUUCGGCUAGGAUGUUGGCGUAAUGGCCAUUAGCGACCCGUCUUGAAACACGG
rnacentral:rRNA from 1 species